GAUGAAGAACGCAGCGAAAUGCGAUAAGUAAUGUGAAUUGCAGAAUUCAGUGAAUCAUCGAAUCUUUGAACGCACAUUGCGCCCGCCAGUAUUCUGGCGGGCAUGCCUGUCCGAGCGUCAUUUCAACCCUCAGGCCCUGGUUGCCUGGUGUUGGGGCGCCGCGCACCCUCUGCGGGCGCGGGCCCCGAAAGUCAGUGGCGGGCUCGCCAGGACUCCGAGCGCAGUAAUUUUCUCUCGCUGUGGAGCGCCUGGUGGGUUACCAGCCGUAAAACACCCCAAAUUCUAAAGGUUGACCUCGGAUCAGGUAGGAAUACCCGCUGAACUUAAGCAUAUCAAUAAGCGGAGGA
rnacentral:misc_RNA from 1 species